UACAGAGGUCUCAAGCGUUUGUUCGGAUUCAUUGGGCGUAAAGGGUGCGUAGGCGGCGCAGUAAGUCGGGUGUGAAAUCUCGGGGCUUAACUCCGAAACUGCAUUCGAUACUGCCGUGCUUGAGGACUGGAGAGGAGACUGGAAUUUACGGUGUAGCGGUGAAAUGCGUAGAUAUCGUAAGGAAGACCAGUGGCGAAGGCGGGUCUCUGGACAGUUCCUGACGCUGAGGCACGAAGGCCAGGGGAGCAAACGGG
rnacentral:rRNA from 1 species